rnacentral:rRNA from 1 species
GCUUUACUGUAGCUUGAAAUUGAACUCGGGCUUAUUUUGCGCAGCAUAGGUGGGAGGCUAAGAUAGUACAUUUGCGGAUGUGCAAGAGCCGCCGGUGAGAUACCACUCUUGAUAAGCCAGAAUUCUAAUUUUGAAUGCCAUGAACUGGCCAAAAAACAGUUUCAGGUGGGCAGUUUGACUGGGGCGGUCGCCUCCUAAAAAGUAACGGAGGCGUGCAAAGGUUCCCUCAGGCUGGUCGGAAAUCAGUCGUAGAGUGUAAAGGCAUAAGGGAGCUUGACUGCAAGACCUACAAGUCGAGCAGAGACGAAAGUCGGCCUUAGUGAUCCGACAGUGCCGAGUGGAAGGGCUGUCGCUCAACGGAUAAAAGUUA